GGGGAAUAUUGGACAAUGGGCGCAAGCCUGAUCCAGCAAUGCCGCGUGAGUGAUGAAGGCCUUAGGGUUGUAAAGCUCUUUCGCCCGCGACGAUGAUGACGGUAGCGGGAGAAGAAGCCCCGGCUAACUUCGUGCCAGCAGCCGCGGUAAUACGAAGGGGGCGAGCGUUGUUCGGAUUUACUGGGCGUAAAGGGCGCGUAGGCGGCGGGUCAAGUCGAGUGUGAAAGCCCCGGGCUCAACCUGGGAAUUGCGCUCGAGACUGGGCUGCUUGAGUUCGGGAGAGGAGCGUGGAAUUCCCAGUGUAGAGGUGAAAUUCGUAGAUAUUGGGAAGAACACCGGUGGCGAAGGCGGCGCUCUGGACCGAGACUGACGCUGAGGCGCGAAAGCGUGGGGAGCAAAC
rnacentral:rRNA from 1 species